UCUCGGCUUAUCACCGGCAGUCCCUCUAGAGUGCCCAACUGAAUGCUGGCAACUAGAGGCGAGGGUUGCGCUCGUUGCGGGACUUAACCCAGCAUCUCACGACACGAGCUGACGACAGCCAUGCAGCAUCUGUGGUGCACCCUCGAAGGUCACACGUUUCCGUGCGCUUGCAGCACCAUGUCAAGUCCAGGUAAGGUUCUUCGCGUUGCAUCGAAUUAAACCACAUGCUCCACCGCUUGUGCAGGCCCCCGUCAAUUUCUUUGAGUUUCACCGUUGCCGGCGUACUCCCCAGGUGGAUGACUUAUCGCUUUCGCUUAGCCGCGUACUGUAUAUCGCACACAGCGAGUCAUCAACGUUUACAGUGUGGACUAC
rnacentral:misc_RNA from 1 species